UUCGGAUUGCAGCCUGCAACUCGGCUGCAUGAAGCUGGAAUCGCUAGUAAUCGCGGAUCAGAACGCCGCGGUGAAUACGUUCCCGGGUCUUGUACACACCGCCCGUCACACCAUGGGAGCCGGAAACGCCCGAAGCCAGCGGCCCAACCGCAAGGGGGGAGCUGUCGAAGGCGGGGCCGGUGACCGGGGUGAAGUCGUAACAAGGUAGC
rnacentral:rRNA from 1 species